UCCGGUGUAGCUCAGCUGGUAGAGCAGUCGACUGUUAAUCGACUUGUCGCAGGUUCGAGUCCUGCCGCCGGAG
rnacentral:tRNA from 1 species